GUUGGGGAGCUGGUAUAGAAAUUCUCAUACCUGACUUCAAAGGCUAAUCUUGCUCUCUUUCAGCAUGGCUCUAAGGGAUCUUCUAAACAACAUACAGCAGUAUGGAUUCCAUGGAAUGCAUAGCAUAAAUAUACUGGGAGAGCACCACUCACAGAUGCUGAUAUCUGAGCAGCUGGUAACUUCAAUGUACAUUAUUAUAACGGUCCACUCUUUCUCUCUCCCAACCCUUGUACCAGAGUGAUAAUGGGAACUCUGGUACAGAGGAUGGCUGAAAGGAAGCAGUGGAGAAUCCGGCUACUGACGGGUGUCUACACACAAGCCAUUCGGUGACGGAAACAAGAAAUGGAAUCAAACAUGCUUCAAUAACUAGUGCAUCAACCCAUUGCACCCAAAGGAUCACAGUUAAACAUCAGUGUUUGGAUAUAGUGAUCUAUAUGUCUUGUCCCUGGGAAUAUGCCAUUAAUCAUGGCACAUUGGCACCCCAAGCAAUUGUAAACAGCUGACAUUGCUGUUAGCUGUAUUUGCACUGAUUAAAAUGCCGUUUUUUUUAGUGACUUGUUUUAAAUAAAGUAAUUAGAAUGUA